CACGCCCUAAACGAUGUCUACUAGUUGUCGGGUUUUAAUUAACUUGGUAACGCAGCUAACGCGUGAAGUAGACCGCCUGGGGAGUACGGUCGCAAGAUUAAAACUCAAAUGAAUUGACGGGGGCCCGCACAAGCGGUGGAGCAUGUGGUUUAAUUCGAAGCAACGCGAAGAACCUUACCAGGCCUUGACAUCCAAUGAACUUUCUAGAGAUAGAUUGGUGCCUUCGGGAACAUUGAGACAGGUGC
rnacentral:rRNA from 1 species